AUUGAACGCUGGCGGCAGGCCUAACACAUGCAAGUCGAGCGGAUGAAGGGAGCUUGCUCCUGGAUUCAGCGGCGGACGGGUAAGUAAUGCCUAGGAAUCUGCCUGGUAGUGGGGGAUAACGUCCGGAAACGGGCGCUAAUACCGCAUACGUCCUGAGGGAGAAAGUGGGGGAUCUUCGGACCUCACGCUAUCAGAUGAGCCUAGGUCGGAUUAGCUAGUUGGUGGGGUAAAGGCCUACCAAGGCGACGAUCCGUAACUGGUCUGAGAGGAUGAUCAGUCACCAUGGAACUGAGACACGGUCCAGACUCCUACGGGAGGCAGCAGUGGGGAAUAUUGGACAAUGGGCGAAAGCCUGAUGCAGCCAUGCCGCGUGUGUGAAGAAGGUCUUCGGAUUGUAAAGCGCUUUAAGUUGGGAGGAAGGGCAGUAAGUUAAUACCUUGCUGUGUUGACGUUACCAACAGAAUAAGCACCGGCUAACUACGUG
rnacentral:rRNA from 1 species